UCACACUUGUGGAGCUCGAAGAUGCAGUGGCGCAUGGUUGGACGGGGCAGUCGAUGCUUGCGUGACAUCCUCGCUCAAUUGCUCAGUUGCACCAACAUGGGUGCAGUUGCUGCAAGGAUGCUGAGAUGUUCCUUCAAGAGUGCCGCCGACCCUACCGCACCUUGAUGCCUGCCACACCUUGAUGCCUGCCGCCCGUGGAGCUUGCCGCCGCCGCUUAGGUACCCCGCGGCCACCGAG
rnacentral:lncRNA from 1 species